CGCGCCGGCCGACAGAUAGAUGACUUGCAACUGGCCCAGAAGGAGUGGUACCUGAAGUUGGGGAAUCCCGCACUGAGUCUGGAAGGCUGCAAUGUGCUGAGAUGGAAGAAGAAUGCUCCUCUCCGAACUGGCAUGAGCCGUAUGCGAGCUGCAGUUCAAAUCUAAUGCAGUGGAGACCAAAGAUCGUAGAGGGACAAGAUAGACCACUCCUCGAAAAACGCGUAGUAUGACGUGUGUGACCGUCGACGCCAUAUUGUUAAGCAUUUAUUGGGCUGUAAUGGCGUCCUCAGCUAAAUCUACAUCUCACUGCUCCGCUAUCAACUGUUCUAAUCGUAAAUCUAAACGACCAGAGCUGUCAUUCUUUAGGUUCCCCAAUAAAAAAGAAAGAUGUCAACAGUGGGUCCAGAAUACUCAUCGACAAGAUCUCCUGCACCGAACUGCAGAGUAUUUGUCAAAUAACUGCCGUCUUAUGUACAUUGUGUGAAAUUGUGAUUUGUUAACUGCACAAAACUAAUGCAAAUGGCGAUACAUGCCUGCAUUUGGCCCAUACCCCUCUAAACCUGUCCUAACCAUCAAAUAACCUAACAGAACUGUCAUGAGGAAAGAUUUAAAAGACUAGGCUUGUAUUCACUGGAGUUUAGAAGGAUGAGGGGGGAUCUUAUCAUAUUGUUUACAGUGUACUAUGUUUACAGAUUCUGUUGUGCUGCUGAAAGUAAGAAUUUAAUUGUUCUAUCUGGGACAAGCUAGAUGCAGGAAAAUUGUUCUACAUGACAAUAAAACCCUCUUGUUAGCUGCAAGGGGAUCUUAUAGAAACAUCUAAAUGAAUAAAAGGACUGAACAAGCUAGAUACAGGAAAAAUGUUCCCAAUGUUGGGCGAGUCCAGAACCAGGGGCCACAGUCUUGGAACAAAGGGGAGGCCAUUUAAGACUGAGGUGAGAAAAAACUUUUUCACCCAGAGAGUUGUGAAUUUGUGGAAUUCCCUGCCACAGAGGGCAGUGGAGGCCAAAUCACUGGGUGGAUUUAAGAGAGAGUUAGAUAGACCUCUAGGGGCUAGUGGAAUCAAGGGGUAUGGGGAGAAGGCAGGCAUGGGUUAUCGAUUGGGGCUGAUCAGCCAUGAUCACAAUGAAUGGCGGUGUUGGGUCGAAGUGCCAAAUGGCCUCCUGCACCUAUUUUCUAUAUUUCUAAAACACUCAUCCAGCAAUCCUUGAGCCCACCAGCUCAUCCCGUAGUCAAUUCAUCAGCUUUUCCAUAAGAACUUCCAUCAGUUCUUGCAAAAGAAUGACAAUCAGCCAAUCUCGAUUACCCUCAGCCCAUCAAGCAGUCCCUUAAUUCGCACAGAAGUCUGAACUAUUGAAUGCUCACUGCAUCUCUUUCCAUGUCAGCAAGUUAAUAUCCAGCUGCAUAUGAACCAUGUGAAAAAUGAAUAAAUAGAUGCAUGUGGUGCAGUGAUUUGUGCAGCACUAUAGGCCUGGAGACCAAGAGGAGUUCACCAUUGAACGGAGUUUGAACGGGGGGCUUGAGGCCCCCGACCGAGGAAGAACAAAAGGAAGGGACUUGAACUUUAUUUCGCCUUCCAUCACAGUGAGGAAUGUGUAGGAGUCACUUUGGUGAAUGUCCGUAUUAAAAUGUGUUUUUGAGUGCUGUUGCUUUUAAUUGUAUGACUGACCUGGCCAAUGAAAUUCCUCGUAUAUUGCAAAACAUACUUGGAAAAUAAAAUCUGAUUCUGAUUCUGAAAAGCCUUUCCCUUCCAUACUCUUUCCUCUCUUUGAUCUUUUUGCAGCUGACUGCCUUUCUGUACAUGUUGCAAGAGAUUGUCGCGGCAUCCAGCAUCCUCGGAGAAUGUAGAAUUAAAGGCAGUUUUAAAGAUGGUUAUUUGCCUCAAAAUUGGGUUAUUGUAUCUCCAGAACCUCCCCAGAGGCUCUGGGAGACACAAGGUUCAAGAGGGAA